UACGAAGGGGGCUAGCGUUGCUCGGAUUUACUGGGCGUAAAGGGCGCGUAGGCGGAUGACCAAGUUGGGGGUGAAAUCCCGGGGCUUAACCUCGGAACUGCAUCCAAAACUGGUCGUCUUGAGUUUGGGAGAGGUGUGUGGAACUCCGAGUGUAGAGGUGAAAUUCGUAGAUAUUCGGAAGAACACCAGUGGCGAAGGCGACACACUGGCCCAAUACCGACGCUGAGGCGCGAAAGCGUGGGGAGCAAACAGG
rnacentral:rRNA from 1 species